rnacentral:lncRNA from 15 species
CUGUUCUACUCUGUAGAUAAUUAUGCCCGCAAUGUUCGCAACAGCCUGGAUUAUCUACACAAAGAGGUAAAAUCAACAGACAUGCUACAUUUUCUAAUAUAUAUAUAUAUAUAUAUCGAUUGAUUGUUUGUCAGCAUUAAUUGAGCUUGUCUCUGUCAGGUGCCUCGGGCUCUGGUGAACUUAAUAGAGCCUCUCCUUAUUACCCCACUGAGAGAAAUGCACAUGGACACUUCACUUAAAUGCCCAACAUGGCUGGUAAAGUGAGUGUCACCCUUAUCUCUGCCUUUUUAAAACUCUCACUGAGAUACUGGAUGUGAUGUAGGCUUUCCAGCUCACGCUCCCAUCACGACUCCAUAUUCCCCCAAGUUAUGAUCUAAUCGUAAGCAGUAGUAUAUCACCUUGUUAUCUCUCCUUUCCCAGUAUACUGUGUCCAUGCGUUAUCCUGCCAAAGGCCAACUCUAAAGCCCUUCAAAUGGUGGAGGACAUCAAUAGAGGCUAUCAGCGUUCACUGCGUGAGCUUGUGGAGUCCGGUCGCUAUGACACUCGCUCAGACUUCACUGUGGUCGUCCAGCCUUUCUUCAGAGACCUCAUCUUCCCCAGACUGCCGGUCAGUAACGUGGACUACACCGACUUUCAGUCAACUCACCGCAGGUUUAGCACCAGAAUCAUGACAGUUUUUCUGCUCCAGUGUGUAUUUUAUAUUUGUAUACGUGUAAAAUAACUGUAGGCAGUUGACACAAACCAAAAUUGACAUUUGUUAGUAAAUUUAUGGUGUCAACCUACUUAUCCAACUCUCUGCAAGAAAGCAAAUAUUCUGUAUUCUUCGGUAUCUCUCGGUUUAACUCUCUCUUUUUGAAAAUGUUUUUCUUGUUGUUGCUUUUUCUAUCAUGCACCAUACUGCAUUGCCCAAACUCUCAAUAUUUUACUGCUCUGAUUGAUUAAAACAUAGUAAGUAGUCCAUAAAAGUACCUUUUCCACAGGAUGGCCGUGCUGAUCGCUCUUUCUUCAGUGCUGAUUGCUUCCAUCUCAGCCAGAAGGCCCAGACGCUGAUGGCUCGCUCCCUCUGGAACAACAUGGUAAGUAUCUGACAGACAAAGUAAAAGAUUGUGUCAUGUUUUGUGGAUGCAUUUAACUUGAUGUGUGGAUAUUGGUCUGCAUGGUGACAAUAUUAAUGU